UCAUGUACAGGUGAGACAGUGACAUCAUGGACAGGUGAGACAGGUGAGACAGUGACAUCAUGUACAGGUGAGACAGGUGAGACAGUGACAUCAUGGACAGGUGAGACAGGUGAGACAGUGACAUCAUGUA